GUCUGCGUAGCUAAGUGGUAUAGCGUGGGAUUGCAAUUCCAUCGCCGUGCAAAAAGUAGAAUCAAUCCUGAGGUCGCGUGUUCGAUCCACGCCGCAGACU